AGGGCAUUGGUGUUUCUUGCAUUUUGGAGCAAAAAUGGAGAAAACAUAGGGAGAAACAGGAGGGAAUUUGCUGGACCUUGCUGACAUACAGACUGAAAACCAACAGAAAAGGCAAGGCCAACCUUGUACGACAGGAGGCCCACAAAGAUAAAUAAUUACCACCAAUAUUAAGACCGGGUGGGCAGGGAUUUCGUAUAUUAGAUGGCUCACCAGUCAUUUACCCAAGUUGCUCAAAAGCCUGCCUUUCACUCAAUGAGACAGUGUUCUACACAUAAUCUGUGCAUCUUUAUUUUAAGAACGGCAUGUGAUAAAAAAAUUAUGAAUUA